UACACCAGAGGUGGCCAAACUUACUGACCCUCCAAGCCGCAUAGGACAAUCUUCGGAAGUUCAAGAGCCAGGGGUUGCCAGGCAGGGCAGGGC